rnacentral:rRNA from 1 species
UACGUAGGGGGCAAGCGUUGUCCGGAUUUAUUGGGCGUAAAGAGCUCGUAGGCGGUUUGGUAAGUCUGGUGUGAAAUCUCCACGCUCAACGUGGAGGGGCCACCCGAUACUGCCAUGACUGGAGUCCGGUAGAGGAGUGUGGAAUUCCCGAUGUAGCGGUGAAAUGCGCAGAUAUCAGGAGGAACACCCGUAGCGAAGGCGGCACUCUGGGCAGAUACUGACGCUGAGGAGCGAAAGCGUGGGGAGCGAACAGG